rnacentral:rRNA from 1 species
UGGGGAAUAUUGGGCAAUGGGGGGAACCCUGACCCAGCGACGCCGCGUGAGGGAAGACGGCCUUCGGGUUGUAAACCUCUUUUGUACGGGAAGAAGGAAGUGACGGUACUGUACGAAUAAGUCCCGGCUAACUACGUGCCAGCAGCCGCGGUAAUACGUAGGGGACGAGCGUUGUCCGGAAUUACUGGGCGUAAAGGGCGCGCAGGCUGUGCUGCAAGUCAGCUGUGAAAUAUCUGGGCUUAACCUGGAUAUGCGGUUGAGACUGCAGUGCUGGAGUGCUGUAGAGGCAAGUGGAAUUCCCAGUGUAGCGGUGAAAUGCGUAGAUAUUGGGAAGAACACCGGUGGCGAAGGCGACUUGCUGGGCAGCAACUGACGCUGAGGCGCGAAAGCCAGGGGAGCAAA